CAGAGGCGCGCCCUCGCCUCGGCGUCCGCCUCUGGGGACUGACGCGACGCCUCCUUUCACCGUCUGUGGACGGUCACAUCUCCUCUGCUGUGAAGUGCCUGUUCACGUGUCUCCCAAUUUUGGAUUACAUUCUGGAUAUUAGCCUUCCGUUCUGUGUGUCCCACUGUCUUCUCCCACUUGGUUGCAGACUCCCUCAAGUCUCCCAGAGCGAGUGCCUAUGGCCAGCAUCCGGCAGGUCGCCUCUGCCUCACAGCAGCUGGGACCUGGAGACACGCAGGCAUCCGGGAAGUUCUCUCGUGGACUUUUCAGGGAACUUCACAUUCUCAGGCUUUCUCCAUGGACUGUGACCCUCACCCAGGCGACAGCAGCUGGGCAGCUGGUCUAGAUGAUCCCCACAGGGACCGUGACAGCGCCGGUGGUCCAGCAGAAACUCAUGCAGCAGGGGGCUGUGAGGACAGCAGCGGCAGCCCACUGCAGGCCUCUAGUGUCCCACCAGUGCAGGUGCCAGCCAGCUCCAAUAGCCCAAGCCAGCUGCCCAGUUACGCAUGGGAGUCCCUGCCAUCAGGUUAACGAUGCCCACCAAACCUCCACGCGCCUAGUCAGGAAAGUGGAGCAGCCUCAGCACAAGCCAUGCAUGCAAUCCAGCCCAAACUGGGUAGAUUUUAUUUAUUGUCGAACCUUGGGACAGUGUCUUGUGAGAUGUCCAUCACCUGGAAAGCUGUAAUUGAAACAAAGUAGUGUAACUACUUUAUCACAAUGCAUCCUACACUGUGGGAGCAGGGAUCCUCAUUGAACAUCCCCUUUUCUGUAUUAUGCAACUAGUUGAAAAAGGGACAGUGGCAAUUUUUUCAAAAUAAUGUUAACUUUUAAUUUCUUUUCCAGAGCAAUACUGCUGGGUCUUGAAAGCCAGUUAGGACUUCUCUGUUAGUGUACAGGGUUUUGCACAUCACAGUAGCCCUUUGGCGGUGCAGUGAAUCAUAAAACAGACUUUAUGAAGCUAGAACAUGGUCUUUGACAGAGCCUGCGUCUGGUUGGCUCUUUAUACCUGACUGGAAAGGCAUCAUGGUCCUGAGACAGGAGAGAGACUGACUAAGGUAGAUCAUUUCAGGUCAGAGGAAGCCAAUGUGGUUUUUCCCUUCCCUCCUAAAAUGUGACUUGUUUGAACUUUGAAAGAAAGUGUUUAGUACUGACGCCCACCGAAGCACAUUCACGAUGUGUUCUCGGCUUGUGUCGAGGGGAAAUAAUCUCUGAUUGAGUUUUCAUCCCAAAGAGCAGCCAGUGUGGCUUCCCCAGAGCCUCCCCCGUGUGACUUGCUUCCAUGGAAACAUAGCCUUUGGGACUGCUCCUCUUCCCAGCACAUCCACGGUAUUUCCCAGCUUUUGGAUGAAGCUCGUGUUUGGACUCAGUGCACUGAAGCAGCUCCGGUGAACGUGUGAGGCUCCCGUCUCGGGUGGUGUGGGGCCCCAGAGCACAGCUCAAGUGUUGUUCUGUUGCAGACGUCACUGCUGAGUGCAGGGUAAGGGAUGCAAUUAGGGCAGAGGCUUGUCAUUGCCCCCUUGUUCUCAUGCCCUCCUCAGGGUGAUCUGCAGAGGUGAGAGACCUCCUCGUACCAGGUGGUUUAUUUAUGAACCUACAAGUAUUGCCCACAGAAAUGGGCACAGUGAACUCUUCGUUGCACUCUCGUAAUGCCAAGCUUCUGAGCCAGGAUCUCAUACAUUAGCAGAUACGCUCACUCACGGUUCUGCGUAAAGCCAGGAACUGUCCAAGCUGUUUGAGGGCGCACAGUUGAAGGGCAAACAGGAGGCUGCCUGUUUGGUACUGUUUUUAUUUUUUUACUGAAGCAAAAUAAUAGAAGUGAUUGCAGUGGGUUUGACUGGCUGAUGAUGUCUGCUUACCCGGAAGUUUUCCCCCAAGCAAGAGGUGCAGGCCCCACGACGCCCUCUGUGCCUCUCUUACAUUACUCGGUUCAGGAAAUCAGGCUGAAUUCGGUCUGCAUGUACUAAGGAUUAGUUAGGGCAUACUGAGAGAUUUUUAAUUUUUUUUUUAUUUAACCUGUUCCCUCCCCAUUGUAUCAGUUUGACACAAAGGAAAGCCUUUUGUCAUGUAAUCUUUUGUUUCCCAUCAACUUAUGUGGACAAUAAGAUGGCGAUACUUAGUGCAGCCAACUGGGAGCUCAUUGCUGACCUCUUGGUUGGAAAUUUGGAAAAAGUAGAAAUCAAGUAUUGAAAAAGUGGGAGGAAUUUAACAUUAUAAUUAACUGAAUAUAUCAAAACAGAGCACUCUUUUCUUACAACCAAACUUGCUUUUUCUGGCUUGGCACGUGCUGCCAUGAGCACGCACAGCCUGCAGCAAGGCUAUCUGUGCAUGCCUCGCGUCUGGUUCCUGAGGAAAGUGCCUGCUCUGUUUAUCCUCAAGUGUGUGGAACCGGCAGAGAUAGGAAUCCCUUUGUUCAGCUGAUUUGAAUUUGUGCAUCCUGUUCAUUUUCCACUUGUCCUUCACGGGGGGUCGGCGGCCUCUUUUUAGACAAUGAUAAAUGUUGAGUGCAUGUAUUUUAGAGUAUCCUAGACAUAGCUGCCAGAAUAGAAGUUCUCAUUAAUCUAGACACUAGAAGAGAACUUAGAAACAUCUCUCAGAAGCUUUCUAAGGGAACAGAACUGGGGUUCUGAAUGUUUGCCGUGUGGAAAUCCUGCCCUAUCUUCUUAUGUGAGUGACAGCGACUCUCGUCCCUGAAGUUUGUUUUCUUCACUGAGUCCCUAACAUACAAUAUGGAACAGAAAAGAGUUUUACUUGUAUUGAACCAGCAAACAGCCAUUGAUGAUUACGUAUCUAGGUACUAAAGGUUUUUCCUUUUCACAAUGACUGAUUAUAGCUUUAGCUGGUUAAACCUCCCAUUGUUAACUGUGCUGCUGAGGCAAUAUGCUGUCUGACUCCCACUAGGCUCCUACAGAUAACAUCUCCCUGGAGCCUGGGUCACCGUGGUAAUGGGUGUGUGAGCUGUUUUUCAGGAAUUAGAACUCCUUGUCCACAAUUCAGGCCGGCUGAGACCACCAACUCAUCAACCAGGCCCGCAGAGAUGUCGGAUAGGCGAUCUUUUGACGUCAAGAGGCUAAAAACUCCACCCUCUGAUCAUGCUAACACCGACAUUUUGUGAACAUGGGUCCUAUGAAGAGGCAUGGAGUCUGACUAUGCUUGCACACAUCAUCAAUUACCUCACCUCUCCUCACCUCCAAUCACCUCUCUCCACAUUUCAGACCACCUUGCCCCCAUCCCAUAAAUAUCCCUGAGUCCCUAUUUUCAGGGAAGCGGAUUUGAGGCUCAUGCUCUCGCUUCCUCCCAUGGCUGCCUUGUGAGUAAACCCUCACUCUGCUGCGAUCUGGUCAUCUUGGUGUUUGGCUUUCUGGGCAGUGGGCAAAAACGAACCUGGUUUGGUAACAGUAUCACUCAAUUUAGCAACAUCUAGUUGUCACCACUGUCUUUAAUAGAGUCAUUUAAGUAAAAAUUUUCCUUCAGGGAUAGUGUUUUUUGGUCUUCUGUUUUAAAGGUUAAACUUUUCAUAUUUGAGAAAAUGUGUGUAGGUAGUUGUCAUCCAAGCCUUCUCAGAUCGUCAUUGUUAGCAGAAUCCUGUAUGACUUUGUGAACCAGGGGCCCUACCAGCACAGUAUGCAAUGAUUGAAAGAAAUCUUAGAACAGAAAUAGAGACAGCAGCCAGAACACUAUCAAGCUCCAAUUGGCCACCACGGAAGGCAGUUGUCCUUUAAAUCAGAGCCAUCUGUUCUGUUAAGGCCAGGCUGUUUCUCAAGCCUCCCCCGGGAAGCAGGAGGUCAGAUCUGAGCGCUCCUUCAGAUUUGCUGCCUAGUGAGGCAGAGGCAUUCCUUUUUGCAGUGUUUGUGAUUUUUUGUUAACUGUUGUAACCAGAGAGCUGUUGUGUUUUAAAAUACCAAGGAAGAAGACUGAAAUUGUAAACACUUUGUAAACAUAAUCCUUUGUACUUGAAUAGUAGCAUUUUAAAGGGUGUUGAUAGCUCACCAAACAAAAAGUAUAAUAAAUGGCACAGCUGUUAAGUUUGCAUGUUCUGCUUCAGCUUCAGCGGCCGGGGGUUUGCUGGUUCAGAUCCAGUGUGUGGACCUAGACACCGCUUGGCAAGCCAUGCUGUGGCAGGAGUCCCACAUAUAAAGUAGAGGACGAUGAGCAUGGAUGUUAGCUCAGGGCCAGUCUUCCUCAGCAAAAAAGAGGAGGAUUGGCGGCAGAUGUUAGCUCAGGGCUAAUGUUUCUAAAAAGAAAAAAAAAGAAACAAAAGUAUAGUAAACGGCCUUUUUAUAUGCUUUUUUGUUCUGUCUUUUAUAGAAAACUAGUAUUCAAGUUAAAUAAGAUGCUAGUUUUGUUUAUUUCACUUCUACAAAUUAAAAACUAAACUAAACAGAAACAGGGAACAAGCAGUGUUGGAGGCAGAGGUUUUCUUCUCCUGGCCCUCUCCCCCCAGGCUGUGGGAGGAACGAGAAGGAAUGGAGCGUGUGCAGAGGUCAUGAGUGAAAAAUCACUGUUUACCUCUGCAGGGGCCGCUGCUCCCCACAAGCACACGUGAAGGGAAGCCUGCUGCCCUGUCUCUGGUGACCUGCUGCACGCAGCACCUGGUUCCCUGGAGGCUGGGUCGACCCAGGGCAGUUUCAGACCUCGAACCUUCCUGCUCUCAGAUGCUCCAGCACACACUCCUCUAGCCAGGCGGCCCACAGGUGCUUCUUUCUUUAUCUUCUCUUUUGCUUUCAGACUCCUUUUCCUUUUGUAAAACAAAAGUUUCUGAU
ensembl:lncRNA